rnacentral:snoRNA from 13 species
UAUUAAGGAGGAACCUAUCCCGAACCUGAUUCCUGUAAGAUUGACAACCCUGUCGGAUCUGACUUCUGAAUU